rnacentral:rRNA from 1 species
GUAGGUGGCAAGCGUUGUCCGGAAUUAGUGGGCGUAAAGCGCGCGCAGGCGGUUCUUUAAGUCUGAUGUGAAAGCCCACGGCUCAACCGUGGAGGGUCAUUGGAAACUGGAGAACUUGAGUACAGAAGAGGAAAGCGGAAUUCCACGUGUAGCGGUGAAAUGCGUAGAGAUGUGGAGGAACACCAGUGGCGAAGGCGGCUUUCUGGUCUGUAACUGACGCUGAGGCGCGAAAGCGUGGGGAGCAAACAGGAUUAGAUACCCUGGUAGUCCACGCCGUAAACGAUGAGUGCUAAGUGUUAGGGGGGUUUCCGCCCCCCUUAGUGCUGCAGCUAACGCAUUAAGCACUCCGCCUGGGAGUACGGCCGCAAGGCUG